rnacentral:rRNA from 1 species
AUGCUACAGGCUUAACACAUGCAAGUCGAGGGGCAGCAUGGUCUUAGCUUGCUAAGGCCGAUGGCGACCGGCGCACGGGUGAGUAACACGUAUCCAACCUGCCGUCUACUCUUGGACAGCCUUCUGAAAGGAAGAUUAAUACAAGAUGGCAUCAUGAGUCCGCAUGUUCACAUGAUUAAAGGUAUUCCGGUAGACGAUGGGGAUGCGUUCCAUUAGAUAGUAGGCGGGGUAACGGCCCACCUAGUCUUCGAUGGAUAGGGGUUCUGAGAGGAAGGUCCCCCACAUUGGAACUGAGACACGGUCCAAACUCCUACGGGAGGCAGCAGUGAGGAAUAUUGGUCAAUGGGCGAGAGCCUGAACCAGCCAAGUAGCGUGAAGGAUGACUGCCCUAUGGGUUGUAAACUUCUUUUAUAAAGGAAUAAAGUCGGGUAUGGAUACCCGUUUGCAUGUACUUUAUGAAUAAGGAUCGGCUAACUCCGUGCCAGCAGCCGCGGUAAUACGGAGGAUCCGAGCGUUAUCCGGAUUUAUUGGGUUUAAAGGGAGCGUAGAUGGAUGUUUAAGUCAGUUGUGAAAGUUUGCGGCUCAACCGUAAAAUUGCAGUUGAUACUGGAUAUCUUGAGUGCAGUUGAGGCAGGCGGAAUUCGUGGUGUAGCGGUGAAAUGCUUAGAUAUCACGAAGAACUCCGAUUGCGAAGGCAGCCUGCUAAGCUGCAACUGACAUUGAGGCUCGAAAGUGUGGGUAUCAAACAGGAUUAGAUACCCUGGUAGUCCACACGGUAAACGAUGAAUACUCGCUGUUUGCGAUAUACUGCAAGCGGCCAAGCGAAAGCGUUAAGUAUUCCACCUGGGGAGUACGCCGGCAACGGUGAAACUCAAAGGAAUUGACGGGGGCCCGCACAAGCGGAGGAACAUGUGGUUUAAUUCGAUGAUACGCGAGGAACCUUACCCGAGCUUAAAUUGCAGAUGAAUUACGGUGAAAGCCGUAAGCCGCAAGGCAUCUGUGAAGGUGCUGCAUGGUUGUCGUCAGCUCGUGCCGUGAGGUGUCGGCUUAAGUGUCAUAACGAGCGCAACCCUUGUUGUCAGUUACUAACAGGUUCCGCUGAGGACUCUGACAAGACUGCCAUCGUAAGAUGUGAGGAAGGUGGGGAUGACGUCAAAUCAGCACGGCCCUUACGUCCGGGGCUACACACGUGUUACAAUGGGGGGUACAGAGGGCCGCUACCACGCGAGUGGAUGCCAAUCCCCAAAACCUCUCUCAGUUCGGACUGGAGUCUGCAACCCGACUCCACGAAGCUGGAUUCGCUAGUAAUCGCGCAUCAGCCACGGCGCGGUGAAUACGUUCCCGGGCCUUGUACACACCGCCCGUCAAGCCAUGGGAGCCGGGGGUACCUGAAGUGCGUAACCGCGAGGAGCGCCCUAGGGUAAAACUGGUGACUGGGGCUAA